AAACACACACACACACACACACUGUUCAUGUCUUUCUGUGACCCAGACCCUCCAGUUCAAGGCUCAGAGAGGCUCUAUGGUUUUGUCAGAAGAGGAUGCCACUUCAUGUUCAAUCCAGGUAAAUGGACGAGUGAGUCGUUGUGCGGCCAGUCACACCUCGGCUCAGCGAGAGGAGGGGCUACUGCAGCCUGAGGCAGAACAACAGAACUGAUGGGCACCCUCAUCCUCACCCUCCUCUCUUGGAAAGCAACACGGGACGAGAGUCAAAACACCGACAGAAACACAGGAAGGCAGACAGACAAGACAGAGAGAGAAAAAGAAAGAGGAGGACAGAGUGAAAAACAGCAUGAGACACACACAAAAAGCAAAGAAAGCUAAAAAGCAAACAGGUGGAAACUAGACAAGCCUGGACUGGGCUGCAUUUUUAGUUAAAACAGGGACAUAAACAGGCAUCUUUAUUAAAAAUGUGUUAACCAUACACUAUAUAUGCACAUCACAGAUGUCUAAUGCCAUUAGAUGGCAGUGUUGAAGCAUCGUGUGCUGAUGUGUCUGAGAACAGUAUCAGGUGGAGGAUAAAUGAGGGAAGGAGAGAAAAUAAGGUGAGAAUUCACCAGCUUCACUUGUGACUCAGUCCACCUUGGUCCCAUUGCUUACUGCAUGGCUCUCACUUGUUUUUCAAGCUGGUAAAAGGGCCUAACUCUAGCUAUUAGUCACCCCGGGGAGUGGUAGGAGACUGAAGCAUAGGCUCUUAGUUAGGAUUAGGAGGGGUUGCAGGGAGGUAAAGCAGGAAAGCAGGCAGACAAGGAUGAAAUGGAACGAAAGUGAUGGUGACAGGCCACUGUGUAUGAGAGAGAUAUCUGGAAGUUGUUGACAGGCUUUGGGAUUGUUGCAAGGCUUCUUAUGGGGUUGAAGGGUUUUUUGUUCUUAUUGUGUUGUACUCACUGUACUCAGGCCCUGCUGUGGCCCUUACCUGUCCUCCUUCUGUAAGCUUUGGUCAGUAGAGGGGCAGCAGUACUGAUGGAGACUGACGAAGCUGUGAACAGUCAGACUGGUGGGGAACAGAGUGGCAUAGGCAGCGCUGCCCGCUGCCGUAGGAGUGGUGGGAGCCGAGAUGGGCUGCCCUGAGAUAGACGAUGGCCGGACACUGACAGGAAGGACCAGAGACGGACAACACACACAGAGACAUGGAGAAAGCAGAGAAACAUACACACAUACAGUCAGCGCCAAAGCAGAAAGAGAGACAGAGAGAGAAAGAGAAAGAGAAAGCACUGAUUUGAAGCUGCACAUUGAUAAAUCAUAGAGCGGCAAUGGUAGUACAAGGAAUGACACAUUUAAAAAGAGAAAAGAGAAGUAAAGGUGUGACAGUAAGGUGACUAACAACUUCACAAUCACUACAGGUCUUUGUUAAAAUCAACUCCUGGCAGGUAGUCUACAGGUGUGUUAAAUAAGAAAGAAAACAGAGUUCAAAGUCAAGGUUUAAGAAAGAAACAUAUAGAAAUUCCCACAGAGAUUUUUAUGUGAGAAACUCAAACCACUCUGAUGGAUUAUAUAAAGCUCUAUACUGGUCUAUAGUGGGGUUCUUCUGUGGAUCAUCCUGUAUGAAAAUGUGAAACCACUUUCUGUAAUGCAGGCAAAAGUGCCCAUAUAACACAAAAGCCUCUCUACAACCCCUCUACUCUGGCAGGAAUUAGAGAUGUUCCAUCUGCAGAUUGUGAGUGAGCAGUGGUUGAGAUUAGCAUGUAAAUGGUCGGUUUCUCACUGGGGCCAGCUGCUGUCAAGGACACGCAGUCCCUGUCAUUUUAGCAUGGAGACACUCAGUGAGGCACAGGGAUGAAGACAAGAUGCAGCAAAGAGAGUGAGAAAGGAAGUGAGAUCCUGCAACACUUAGGCAGUAGUUUACCAGCUUGUUUUAUGGCCAGCUGUGUAAGAUGUGGCGACCAAACUGAAUGUUCAGAAUGUGUUUUUCACUUGAUGGAUUCAUCAAAGAAACCAAAUUCUUUUAGAAGCUACAAGCAGUACUGUCAGGGUAUGUUUGGUGAUAUUCUGUAUUCUCCUUAUUGUGAACAAAUCCCACGAAAAGACAAACCAGCAAUAGAUUGUACUAACAAGUGUUGCCUGUCUAGCCAAAGUGUUUUAAAGCUCAUUUUUGUAUGUGCAAUAAGACUCCAUUGUUGUUCAAAAACAAUUAAAAACACAUCAAUAAA